CAGUCGCCGCGGGAAAACAGAGGGUGCAAGCGUUAAUCGGAAUUACUGGGCGUAAAGCGCGCGUAGGUGGUUUGUUAAGUUGGAUGUGAAAGCCCCGGGCUCAACCUGGGAACUGCAUCCAAAACUGGCAAGCUAGAGUACGGUAGAGGGUGGUGGAAUUUCCUGUGUAGCGGUGAAAUGCGUAGAUAUAGGAAGGAACACCAGUGGCGAAGGCGACCACCUGGACUGAUACUGACACUGAGGUGCGAAAGCGUGGGGAGCAAACAGGAUUAGAUACCCCUGUAGUCCCUGUCUCUUAUAC
rnacentral:rRNA from 1 species